CACGUAGGGCGCAAGCGUUGUCCGGAAUUAUUGGGCGUAAAGAGCUCGUAGGCGGCCCGGUAAGUCCGCUGUGAAAGUCCAGGGCUCAACCCUGGGAUGCCGGUGGAUACUGUCGGGCUCGAGUCCGGAAGAGGCGAGUGGAAUUCCUGGUGUAGCGGUGGAAUGCGCAGAUAUCAGGAGGAACACCAACGGCGAAGGCAGCUCGCUGGGACGGUACUGACGCUGAGGCGCGAAAGCGUGGGGAGCGAACAGG
rnacentral:rRNA from 1 species